GACCUUGAUGCGGAUUUCCCAGGUUUACUGACUGGAAAAAGCCUCUUCCAGAGCCAUCAGAGGCAAACCUCAAUAACUGCUGAGCCUAUGCUCCAUGUAGUGAGGAAGAUCGUGAGAUGUUCCGUCGGGGCUGCAGAGCGUGGCGGCUGCAUCAGAAAGUGAAAACACAGACGUCCGGCUGCCACAGACCCGUGUGGCGUGUUGAAACACAGCCGCGACCGUUAACAACAACCAGAUAUAGGACAGUUUAACAGACAGACUGCAGCACUGGCAUCUUUGCCUGUCCACACCCUGCCCCUGUCCUGUGCCAUGCCUUUGGAUUGAAGUUCACCCCUGUACCCUGCCAUCCUCGCCACAGACUCGCAGCAGGUGCAUCAUGGUGGAUGUAACCAAAUGGCCCCUUUUCAGCCUGAUGAGUCCCCAGGAGCUCUCCACAAUACGGAAAGCGUGUGUGUUUGGAAUGUCUGCCAAUGAGGCCAUCUACAUCACCAAUGAUGAUGAGGUGUACGUUUUUGGGCUGAACUGCAGUAACUGCCUGGGAACAGGGGACAGCCAGAGCACCAUAGUGCCCAAGAAGGUGGACUUCCUGAGUGGGAGGAAAGUGGUCAGCCUGAGCUACGGCAGCGGACCCCACAUCCUCCUGGCCACAGAGGAUGGAGAGCUAUUUGCCUGGGGCCAUAAUGGUUACAGCCAACUGGGAAAUGGGACAACCAACCAAGGAGUAGCUCCAGUGCUCGUGUCUGCCAGCCUGCUCAAUAAGAAGGUCACAGAGGUGGCCUGUGGCUCUCACCACUCAAUGGCGCUGACUGACUCAGGAGAAGUUUAUGCAUGGGGCUACAACAACUGUGGUCAGGUGGGUUCAGGCUCCACAGCGAACCAGCCCACACCCCGCAGAGUGUCCAGCUGCCUGCAGAACAAAGUGGCUGUCAGUAUCGUCUGUGGUCAGACCUCGUCUCUGGCUGUAGUGGACAAUGGAGAGGUGUACGGCUGGGGCUACAAUGGGAAUGGCCAACUUGGACUUGGAAAUAAUGGGAACCAGCUCACUCCCUGUCGCCUUGUAGCUCUACAGGGCUUAUGUGUCCAACAGAUCGUGGCAGGCUAUGCCCACUCCCUGGCACUAACAGACGAGGGCUUGCUUUAUGCUUGGGGUGCCAACACAUAUGGACAACUUGGCACUGGCAACAAGAGCAACCAGCUGAGCCCAGUUCAGAUCAUGACUGAGAAAGACAGGAUUGUGGAAAUUGCUGCCUGUCACUCCACACACACCUCAGCUGCUAAGACUCAGAGUGGUCAGGUGUACAUGUGGGGCCAGUGCAGGGGCCAGUCUAUAGUACUGCCUCACCUCACACACUUCACCUGCACAGAUGAUGUCUUUGCAUGCUUCGCCACCCCCUCAGUUAUGUGGAGGCUUCUUUUCGUGGAGCACGAUGACUUCUUGACCGUGGCUCAGUCUCUGAAGAAAGAGUUUGACAACCCAGAGACGGCUGACCUCAAAUUCUGCGUUGAUGGCAAAUAUAUCUACGUCCACAAAGCAGUUCUCAAAAUCAGGUGUGAACACUUCCGAUCCAUGUUUCAGUCCCACUGGAACGAGGACAUGAAGGAGGUGAUUGAAAUAGACCAGUUCUCCUACCCGGUGUACCGUUCCUUCCUCGAGUUCCUUUACACAGACAAUGUGGAGCUGCCUCCUGAGGAUGCCAUUGGACUGCUGGACCUUGCGACGUCAUACUGUGAGAACCGCCUGAAGCGUCUGUGUCAACAUAUUAUAAAGAGGGGAAUCACUGUUGAAAAUGCCUUCUCCCUGCUGUCUGCUGCUGUGCGUUACGAUGCAGAGGACUUGGAAGAGUUCUGCUUUAAGUUCUGUGUGAAUCACUUGACUGAGGUGACACAGACUGCUGCUUUCUGGCAGAUUGACGGCAACCUGCUCAAAGAUUUCAUAUGUCGAGCCAGCCGCUGUGGAGCCUUCAGAAACUGACUUUGACCCCGGAUGGUUACAGACUGAUGCAGUGACUUCUCAAAGGACUUCAUCGUUCUCUUCACGGGUGGUUACACAUAGCUUUAAUCACAGGUCGCUCUGUCUGGUAUUGGACCUACAGGCUGUUGCAACAUUGCCAUCCCAGAGUGUGUGGAUGAUGUUCAGGGAGGUUCAGAUCAGCCACCUGUUUCAUGACAUAAAUCUGUACACUGUAAUGUAGUAAAAAAAACAAUUAUGGCAGUUUGGUCCCUGGUAAAGUGAUCCGCAGUGAAUGCUUCAGGGUUCUGCUUGGGAGCUCACCUCACACUAACCACGUUAUUGUUCUGCUGGCUUUGUUUCGUGGAUACAGAUGUUGUUCUGCGAAGCUGCCAUGUUCAGCUCAGAUGCUAGCUUUGGGACGUUCACUUUAGGUUCUGUCUGUUUUUCUUUGUUUGGUGUUGAGAUAUUUUUUAGCACUGAACAAUUUUGAAGUGUGUCUCUAAAGCUGUUUGUUAUAACUGGAAAAUUAGGUUUUUUUCAAACUAAAUUUUCUGAUAAUGAUGCACAGAGGACCAUAUCAAUUUUUUGGUAUAUAUGGUUAAAUAGGUGGUUCGAAAGAUAGGAACAAUUCACUGUGUAAUUAGGUUCAUCUGUUAUUUGGAAGAUGUGUGACAAGUUGAGCAAAAAGGGUUCUGGAACAAGAAACAUACACCAACAUUUUGUUUUUUCAAUUUUAUCAGUUUCACUCUGUAACAAAUGAACACCCUGGACUCUUCUGAGUUCACUCAAACGUCCAGAUGCACAGGCAUUAUUCUCCCAUCCUGUGUUUGUCAUCACGUUUACUGUAAGUGAGAUAGUCUUUAAAUGGUUCAUCAGACCACAUACUGACAAUAAUUAAUUAUUAAUCAACAAUUAAUUAUUGAUUAAUAAUUGAUCAUUGCAAUUAAUUAUAAUUAAUAAUUAAUUAUUAUAAUUAAUUAUUAAUCAAUAAUUAAUUUGUAAAAGGACAAGGAGUGACUGUAAAUACCAUUAGUUUGAAGACAUUAUGAGGUAUUCACCAACAGAGGUCAAAACUCCCAACAAUACUUAGUCUUUGGAGCGUUUCUCUUCUCUGUGCAAAUUGGAGGUGGGUGACUUUGGGAAUGAAAUCCCUAUUCAAACUUUCACAAAACAACAGAAAUGUAUAAAACACAUUUUAAACAUAA